UGCCUCUGUUUCCUGGGAAGUAGACUCAGCUCUCUCCAUCUUCCCCUAACUAGGCCUACAGAACAGGGACUGACUCUGGUGUAGGAGAGGUAUUUAAGAAAGGAGCUUCACCUGGGCUGUCUCAGCCUCACAUUU
ensembl:scaRNA